AUUUAUAUAGUUUAUAUAAAACAUUACAUUUUCAUUGUAAAAUUAAACAUACGUUUUAUAAAUA
rnacentral:tRNA from 2 species